rnacentral:rRNA from 1 species
AGAGAGAGACAUGCGCGCAUAUCAAUAAGCGGAGGAAAAGAAACUAACAAGGAUUCCCUUAGUAACGGCGAGUGAAGCGGGAAGAGCUCAAAUUUGAAAUCUUCAAGGUUUUACCUUGACGAAUUGUAGUUUAAAGAAGUGUUUUCUGCUGAAGUUUUGGUAAAAGUUCUUUGGAAUAGGACAUCAUAGAGGGUGAGAAUCCCGUAUUUGACCAUUAUUUCAGCUUUGUGAUACACUUUCAAAGAGUCGGAUUGUUUGGGAAUGCAGUCCAAAAUGGGUGGUAAAUUUCAUCUAAAGCUAAAUAUUGGCGAGAGACCGAUAGCGAACAAGUACCGUGAGGGAAAGAUGAAAAGAACUUUGAAAAGAGAGUUAAACAGUACGUGAAAUUGUCAAAAGGGAAGCGUUUGACACCAGUGUUGUUUUCUCGAAAAUCAAUUAAAAAUGGCUCGAUUUUGUAUUGCUGAGACCUUAAAAGCUCACUGUACAUUUUUCGUGUCUUUUUUAAUGCACUUUUCGUUUAACAAGUCAACAUCAGUUUCUUUUGUUGUAAAAGGGUCAUUGGAAGGUGGCUUUCUUUUCGGAGAAAGUGUUUAUAGCCUUUGGCCUCUGCAAUCGGAGAGAUUGAGGUCUGCAGCGUAGAUCCUUCGGGGUUAGAUACAUUUGUGCUAAGUUAUAGCCUUUCAUAGACAACUUGUUGACUAUGAUCAGUCAUGUAGCUUACUCGCUUAUGCUAUUUUACCUACGCUUAGGAUGUUGAAGAUGUAGCACAUCAU